GGAAAAUCAAAUGGGAUGGGAGUGUGUGUAUGGUGAGCAGAGUUUAAGCCCCUCAGGGUACACAGGAGUAAAUAAAGAAAACGUUUGUUAAGGGGGAAGGAACGUCAAGCAGCCGUCAUCAGAGAUUUUCUAGCCACCUGGGAUGCCCACUUUAGUGUCCUAUGUACACACUUGGCUUAUAUCCUUCACAGUGGAAAUUUUCUUGGUGUCUACCAGGAUGUGGCCUUCACCUGUGACCCUGAGGCCCAGCUGAGAGCAGCUCAGCUCGGUGCAGCCUUCUGUAAUGGGGAGAGACACCGUCAAAGAAAGAAACAUCCCAGUCGCCCAGCUCCAGUGUCAGUUGACGCCAAGGCACCGGACAAUGUGAAUCUGAAAAUCCAUCCUCUUGCCCAGCAGCUCCAAAGGGUCGAUAACCACAUCCUCCUCGCCAUGCGUUCUACAAACAGAAGAGCUUCAUGCAGUAGGCCAGCGACUGGAGCCAGAUGUGAGCUGAGCCCAAACAGACGACCUCGACAGGAUCCCAGAAAGGGUCGUCUUCUCGAGCCACAGGGCCGUGAUCUCCAUCUAGAAAGCGCUGGUAAAGUUCCUGCAUUAGGAAUUUCCUAUUGAUGAACUUGGCUUUUGACCAUAUCCACACCUGGAAACACAGAGGGGUUCACACCCAGUGCACAGCAGAUCCAGGACAACAGCCUGCCGCUGUCUUCCUCCUCACUGGGUGAGGACAGGGCCUCUGUCAACACUGGCUCUGGAGAGGAAACAAACCUGAAGCCACAGGAGGAGGGAUUCCAGAGGGAUUCCAGGUAGGUCGUUUUUAGACCAUAAAUAUCAGGUAAAACUAGCAACUCCUUUUCUGGGCAACUUGAAAAGCAAAAGCAAAAAUCAACAGACAAGUCAUUCUAUGUAUGAUGUCUCUUCAUAAAAAGGACAUUCUCAGGACUCUGAAAACGAUUCCAUCUUUUUCUGUUGGCCUCAAAGUGAAGAACCAUAGUGCUCUCCUAGAGGCGGC
rnacentral:lncRNA from 1 species